UAGGCGGGCUGGUAGCCGGGAGCGCGCUUCUUAAAGGGACCGUCUGAUCACAGGGGCAGGUAGAUACUUGUGUGAUACACAGGUGAAGCAGGAACAGCCUCAUCCUUCAAGAACUUUUUGGACAAAUGUUAACAACAAAGAUGAGAACAGGCUCAGAACUUCAAACAGCUUGCCCAAAGUAAUGAUUCUUGACUUUCCUUAGCACCUUACAUACAAGGUGAGUAUCUUCCUUAGAGUCCUCUAGAAAUGUCUAAGGGCUUGAAGGCUGAAGGUCCCAACAAAGGUAUGGUGGAGGUUGGGGUGAGCACGUGCAGUAGAGUGUUCCAACACAUUCUAUAGAAACUAAGGGGAAACAAGAUACUGACAGUGGCACAGGAGCUGAGUAUGUUCUGACCUGGACAGCCGUGUCAGGCAUUUAGUCCUAUCCCCCCUCCUCGAGACAGGGUUUCUGUAUAGUCCUGGCUGUCCUGGAACUUGCUCUGCAGACUAGGCUGGCCUAGAACUCAGGGAUCUGCCUGCUUCUGCCUCCUGAAUUUGGGAAUUAAGGAUGUGUGCCACCAUGCCCAGCUCCCUCUCAAGUCUUUAAAGUUGUUUAAAAAUGUUUUUUUGUUUGUGAGGUGAUGGAAAAGGUGCCCCUCCCACUAAAGUGGUUUGAGUAGGUGGAACAGUUAGCAAUGAGUCUCUGGAAGCCCUGAGUACUCCAUCCUGGGACUAAAGACUCCUAAGAUCCUGGCUGGCUUUCAGGAUCAAGAUCAAGAGGUAGGGUGAAACAGAAUUGUUGAUCUCCUCUCGGGUUUCUAUGUUGCAGCAAAUGCCCCAGGCCAGCCUCUAUACAGCAGGUAGCUCCUGGUAUUCAGGGUCCUCUGACAGCUGCAAAGACACAAAGUGGAAAAGUAAGACACUUGAGGCUUGAGUUUGAGGGGCCUCUCAGCCUUCAUCUGGUCUGGCUUUGUCCCUUACAACUCUGCCUUUCCAUAGCUCAAGUCCAGUUGCUGCAUUCAGCAGGGAGGUUCCUACGUACACAGAUGGGCAGAAGACACAAGUACACAGGCCAUAACCUGCAUGUUCAGUAGAAGAGGAAAGAAACCAAACACAGGUCAGAGCUUACCUGACCAAGCAGUGCUUCAAAGACCCCUGCAUGUUCCACUCUUCUGCAUCCACUAUGGUUCCCAAGUUAGAUUUCCUCCAAAACCUAUGCUUCCCUGAUAUCCAGGAAGUUCCCUUUUCUUUCCAUCAGCCACUUUGUUGUUUGCAAACACACUCCAAAUAAACACUGCUUCAGGGGAUCACUGGCAGAAUAAAGCAGAAUUCAAAAGA